rnacentral:rRNA from 1 species
UACGGAGGGUGCGAGCGUUGUCCGGAAUCAUUGGGCGUAAAGGGCGCGUAGGCGGCUUCUUAAGCGUGCGGUGAAAGCCUGGGGCUCAACCCCGGGUCGGCCGUGCGAACUGGGGGGCUGGAGCACUGUAGAGGCAGGCGGAAUUCCGGGUGUAGCGGUGGAAUGCGUAGAGAUCCGGAAGAACACCGGUGGCGAAGGCGGUCUGCUGGGCAGUUGCUGACACUGAGGCGCGACAGCGUGGGGAGCAAACAGG